GGAUUCCCGUCGAGUAAGAACUAGCCAUUCGCUCGUAGCGAGUCUUGGAGGGCUAAAGGUAACUUUAGUCUUUAAGCGUAGACAGUUAGGUGGAGCAGCCGUCAAGGCUGAGAAUCUUAUGGAGUGGAAGUCUCCUGUCAUCAAUUGACCGAUUCGGAUGACUAGCAUAUCCAAUGCGUAACGGCCAAUGCAAGCAUGGUCCAAUCGCGGUUCU
rnacentral:misc_RNA from 1 species